CCACCUGAAGAGAGAACCUAAGAGUCAGGAGGCCCCAUCUCCCUCUAAAGGCCUCUGCUGUGCGUUUGAGCAGUACCCCUAGCCAGGAUCAUGAGCCCCAAAGACAGAGACCAAGUCAGCUCCCUCCUUAUCUCAGAAGAGCCACUGUUCCUGAGAAGAAGGUUGAAAGCAAUCACAACGUAGCAGCACUUGAAGGCCUGCCAAGUACCCUAAGUCAUCUCAUGGGAUCCUCAGGUGGUGCUGCAAGGACCAAAGUCUCCUGCUGCCCAGCUAAGAAGGAAGGAAGAGAGGCUGUGGGCUGGCCUUGCCCUGGAAGGACUCCUGGGGCCUGGCUGACUAGAGCAGACUACUGCUUGCAAUCAGUCACAGACACUGAACCAGAAAUAAUGACUAAAAUGAACACAGAGAAGGUGAAAAGACUUAGACGACCUGACGCAAAAUAAAGCAGAGCCAGAAAAGCAACACAUACAAACUACAACAAUGUAAAUGGAAAGAACAGCACAACAAAAUUGAGAAUGAAUGCUGGAAAAUUAUGACAAAGUUGGACCCACAGAAAGAAGAUCAGAAGCCAAUUCUACCCACUUCUUUGCAGAAGCGAGGGACCAUGUGUAUGGAACAAACAUAAAAUGUCAGCUUUUAA